GACGUAGGGCGCGAGCGUUGUCCGGAAUUACUGGGCGUAAAGAGCUCGUAGGUGGUUUGUCGCGUUGUCCGUGAAAACUCACAACUCAAUUGUGGGCGUGCGGGCGAUACGGGCAGACUGGAGUACUGCAGGGGAGACUGGAAUUCCUGGUGUAGCGGUGAAAUGCGCAGAUAUCAGGAGGAACACCGGUGGCGAAGGCGGAUCUCUGGGCCUUACCUGACGCUGAGGCGCGAAAGCUAGGGGAGCGAACAGG
rnacentral:rRNA from 1 species